rnacentral:rRNA from 1 species
CACGUAGGGCGCAAGCGUUGUCCGGAAUUAUUGGGCGUAAAGAGCUCGUAGGCGGUCUGUUGCGUCCGCUGUGAAAACUCGGGGCUUAACCCCGAGCCUGCAGUGGAUACGGGCAGACUAGAGGUAGGUAGGGGAGAAUGGAAUUCCCGGUGUAGCGGUGAAAUGCGCAGAUAUCGGGAGGAACACCGGUGGCGAAGGCGGUUCCUCUGGGCCUUACCUGACGCUGAGGAGCGAAAGCGUGGGGAGCGAACAGG